rnacentral:rRNA from 1 species
CCUUAGAGUUUGAUCCUGGCUCAGAGCGAACGCUGGCGGCAGGCUUAACACAUGCAAGUCGAGCGGGCGUAGCAAUACGUCAGCGGCAGACGGGUGAGUAACGCGUGGGAACGUGCCUUUUGGUUCGGAACAACACAGGGAAACUUGUGCUAAUACCGGAUAAGCCCUUACGGGGAAAGAUUUAUCGCCGAAAGAUCGGCCCGCGUCUGAUUAGCUAGUUGGUGAGGUAACGGCUCACCAAGGCGACGAUCAGUAGCUGGUCUGAGAGGAUGAUCAGCCACAUUGGGACUGAGACACGGCCCAAACUCCUACGGGAGGCAGCAGUGGGGAAUAUUGGACAAUGGGGGCAACCCUGAUCCAGCCAUGCCGCGUGAGUGAUGAAGGCCCUAGGGUUGUAAAGCUCUUUUGUGCGGGAAGAUAAUGACGGUACCGCAAGAAUAAGCCCCGGCUAACUUCGUGCCAGCAGCCGCGGUAAUACGAAGGGGGCUAGCGUUGCUCGGAAUCACUGGGCGUAAAGGGUGCGUAGGCGGAUCUUUAAGUCAGAGGUGAAAGCCUGGAGCUCAACUCCAGAACUGCCUUUGAUACUGGGGAUCUUGAGUUCGGGAGAGGUGAGUGGAACUGCGAGUGUAGAGGUGAAAUUCGUAGAUAUUCGCAAGAACACCAGUGGCGAAGGCGGCUCACUGGCCCGAUACUGACGCUGAGGCACGAAAGCGUGGGGAGCAAACAGGAUUAGAUACCCUGGUAGUCCACGCCGUAAACGAUG